rnacentral:rRNA from 1 species
CGAAUUGUAGUUUAUAGAAACGUUUUCGGGGGUAUACUGGGCUUAAGUCGCCUGGAAAGGUGCAUCAUAGAGGGUGAGAAUCCCGUCUGUGGUCCAGUUAUAUCCCUAUGUGAUACGUUUUCUAAGAGUCGGGUUGUUUGGGAUUGCAGCCCUAAAUGGGUGGUAAAUACCAUCUAAAGCUAAAUACACGCGAGAGACCGAUAGCGAACAAGUACCGUGAGGGAAAGAUGAAAAGAACUUUGAAAAGAGAGUUAAACAGUACGUGAAAUUGUCUGAAGGGAAACGCUUGAAACUCAGUCGUGCGUCUAGAAUUCAGCCGUUCUCACGAACGGUGCAAUUCGCUUGAUGCAGGUCAACGUCAGUUUGGCGUAGAGUAAAAUGAGUCAGGAAGGUAGCCCUCUGGGUGUUAUAACCUGAUUUGAUGCUCUAUGCUGGACUGAGGUGCCGCGGUAGGAGUAGGCGAGAAUUUGCCCAGCCGACCGGUUUGUAGACUACUUGUAGACUACAAACUAGGAAGGUA